rnacentral:rRNA from 1 species
UACGAAGGGGGCUAGCGUUGCUCGGAAUUACUGGGCGUAAAGCGCACGCAGGCGGUCUGUCAAGUCGGAUGUGAAAUCCCCGGGCUCAACCUGGGAACUGCAUUCGAAACUGGCAGGCUAGAGUCUUGUAGAGGGGGGUAGAAUUCCAGGUGUAGCGGUGAAAUGCGUAGAGAUCUGGAGGAAUACCGGUGGCGAAGGCGGCCCCCUGGACAAAGACUGACGCUCAGGUGCGAAAGCGUGGGGAGCAAACAGG